rnacentral:misc_RNA from 1 species
AAGUCGUAACAAGGUUUCCGUAGGUGAACCUGCGGAAGGAUCAUUAACACGUGAAAACGUAUUAAUCUACCUUGAUUUACCCCCCGUGAAUUUCACUACCUAUUCAUCUGACGCUGUGCUAUACAAUAUGUAGUAGGAUAUGACUUCGGUCAUAUGCAAUUGUAUAAACACUGAGGCUUCGAGCCUGAGGUGUCUUUUGAUAGGCUUUUUUCUUUUUCCCCUACUACAAAAUACCUAAACUAACCUAUUUCACCUAUUCAACCAAUUUUGACUGAUGUAGUUGAUCGUAAAGAAAUUUACAGUUAUCAACACCAUUUAUCUAAACUAAGCACAACUCUUAGCAAUGGAUAUCUUGGUUCUC